rnacentral:lncRNA from 1 species
CAAGGUCCAAUAAAUGCAGUCUCAUUUAGUUCUCAUGAUGGUCCUGCAUGGGAGGUUCACUUAUCAUUUUCAGUUUGCAGACUAAGGAAUUAAGGCUCAGAGAUAUUCAGUAAUGACUGAAGGUCAAACAGCCAGAGCAGAUCUUGACCUUGGGUCUAACAUGAAGUGGAUGCUGGGCUGCACCUGGGCCGCCUCUGCUGCACCUACCCUUGCCAACUGCACACCUGGACCCACGAAGCUGUGCCCAGCAGACCCAUCUUGAAAGUGCUUUUUCUGAAAGUCAGUGAACCCCGGCUUGUUUCAUGUGUCAGGAGAUAGCAUCUUUUCUCCAACAGGCUUUGAAGAGAUGCUCCCUGUAGACCCAACAGAGCAGCAGCCCACUGGUUCCUACAGCUGGAUGAUGCCACCUGCUCAGGCCAGGGUCUCAGGGUUCCUCACUGGCCCCUUCCAAUAGCCACAUCCUUCCCAGAAAGAGAGGGGCCUGUCAGCCCUGGGGUCCUCUGUCCAGAGCUGGGGCUCUUCCUUCUGCCCAGGCACUGGGAACUGGGAUGCUGGGAUUCCAACCCAGAAGCUUGAAGCCCACUCUCUGGCCCAUCUUCCCAACAUCCACUGCCCUGGCCUUGUGCUAUCCCUCAAACCCAAGGGCAAGAGGCAGCUUACCUGGAGGGUGUGGCCAGGAGUCCAGCCAGCCUCACUUGCCUUCCCAGGGCUGUAUCUGUGAAUGAAGAAUAGAAGUAUUUCUGUUUAGCAGACUGCCAGCUUGAUGGGUCACUCUAAAGACUUCAUGUGUGGCAAGCAGCCCCUCCCUGAGCCCCCUGCCUGGAGCUGUGAAGGCUGGAGCAGGCCUGUCUACACCUCCUCCCUGGGCUGACUGGUGAGCCCAGCCUCCAGUGCAAAUGGAUUUUUCUUCUCCUAGGAGUCUGAAGGGACAGGGAAUCAUUUUAGGAUCUGUGAGUAUAAAACUGAGUGAGGAAGUAGUUAAAUGACAGCUGGGCCCACCCCUUCCCUGCUUCUCCAUCACUCACUUGGAGGACACCCUUUGUAAGAAGGUAGACUAUUGCAUGCGCACACAUGCGCGCGCGCAUGUGUGUGUGUGUGUGUGUGUGUGUGUGUGUGUGUGUGUACAUGUGAACAGCUCGUCCCACCUCAGCCAGGAGCCAAAUGCUCACAUGCACAUGCUGACAAGAUCUCCUUUAGGACUUGAAGUUUCUAGAUCCCUCUAGAAAUCCUCAUGCAGCCUCAGGCUCAGAUUCCAGCUUCUCAGAGGGUCCCAACCAAGCACAACACAGUAAGCAUCAG